rnacentral:rRNA from 1 species
UUUGUACACACCGCCCGUCGCUACUACCGAUUGAAUGGCUCAGUGAGGCGUCCGGACUGGCCCAGAGAGGUGGGCAACUACCACUCAGGGCCGGAAAGCUCUCCAAACUCGGUCAUUUAGAGGAAGUAAAAGUCGUAACAAGGUCUCCGUUGGUGAACCAGCGGAGGGAUCAUUA